rnacentral:rRNA from 1 species
GUCCUUGCCGUAAACUAUGUAUACUUGGUGUAGCUGGAAUCAACCCUGGCUGUGCCGUAGCUAACGCGAUAAGUAUACCGCCUGGGGAGUACGCUCGCAAGGGUGAAACUCAAAAGAAUUGACGGGGACCCCGCACAAGCAGUGGAGCAUGUGGUUUAAUUCGAUGCAACGCGAAGAACCUUACCCAGACUUGACAUACAGUGGAAUUACGUAGAAAUAUGUAAGCCCUUCGGGGCCGCUGAACAGGUGCUGCAUGGCUGUCGU